CGUUGUCCGGNUUAUUGGGCGUAAAGCGAGCGCAGGCGGUUUCUUAAGUCUGAUGUGAAAGCCUUCGGCUCAACCGAAGAAGUGCAUCGGAAACUGGGGAACUUGAGUGCAGAAGAGGACAGUGGAACUCCAUGUGUAGCGGUGAAAUGCGUAGAUAUAUGGAAGAACACCAGUGGCGAAGGCGGCUGUCUGGUCUGUAACUGACGCUGAGGCUCGAAAGCAUGGGUAGCAAACAGGAUUAGAUACCCUGGUAGUCCAUGCCGUAAACGAUGAGUGCUAGGUGUUGGAGGGUUUCCGCCCUUCAGUGCCGCAGCUAACGCAUUAAGCACUCCGCCUGGGGAGUACGACCGCAAGGUUGAAACUCAAAGGAAUUGACGGGGGCCCGCACAAGCGGUGGAGCAUGUGGUUUAAUUCGAAGCAACGCGAAGAACCUUACCAGGUCUUGACAUCCUUUGACCACUCUAGAGAUAGAGCUUUCCCUUCGGGGACAAAGUGACAGGUGGUGCAUGGUUGUCNUCAGCUCGUGUCGUGAGAUGUUGGGUUAAGUCCCGCAACGAGCGCAACCCUUAUUACUA
rnacentral:rRNA from 1 species